GACAGAGGUGGCAAGCGUUGUUCGGAAUUACUGGGCUUAAAGGGCGCGUAGGUGUCCCGGCAAGUCAGAUGUGGAAUCUUCUUGCUCAACGAGAAAAUUGCAUUUGAAACUGUCGGGAUUGAGUCAGACAGGGGAUGGCGGAAUUCCUGGUGUAGCGGUGAAAUGCGUAGAUAUCAGGAGGAAGGCCGGUGGCGAAGGCGGCCAUCUGGGUCUGUACUGACACUGAGGCGCGAAAGCGUGGGUAGCAAACAGG
rnacentral:rRNA from 1 species